rnacentral:rRNA from 1 species
AUUGAACGCUGGCGGCAUGCCUUACACAUGCAAGUCGAACGGCAGCACGGGUGCUUGCACCUGGUGGCGAGUGGCGAACGGGUGAGUAAUACAUCGGAACGUACCUUAUCGUGGGGGAUAACGCAGCGAAAGCUGUGCUAAUACCGCAUACGCGCUGAGGGGAAAGCGGGGGAUCGCAAGACCUCGCGCGAUUAGAGCGGCCGAUGCCUGAUUAGCUUGUUGGUGGGGUAAAAGCCCACCAAGGCGACGAUCAGUAGCUGGUCUGAGAGGACGAUCAGCCACACUGGGACUGAGACACGGCCCAGACUCCUACGGGAGGCAGCAGUGGGGAAUUUUGGACAAUGGGGGCAACCCUGAUCCAGCAAUGCCGCGUGAGUGAAGAAGGCCUUCGGGUUGUAAAGCUCUUUUGUCAGGGAAGAAACACCGGCUCUAACACAGUCCGGGAAUGACGGUACCUGAAGAAUAAGCACCGGCUAACUACGUGCCAGCCGCCGCCGUAA